GAUGAAGAACGUAGCGAAAUGCGAUAACUAAUGUGAAUUGCAGAAUUCAGUGAAUCAUCGAGUCUUUGAACGCACAUUGCGCCCCCUGGUAUUCCGGGGGGCAUGCCUGUCCGAGCGUCAUUGCUGCCCUCAAGCACGGCUUGUGUGUUGGGCUCCGUCCCCCCGGGGACGGGCCCGAAAGGCAGCGGCGGCACCGAGUCCGGUCCUCGAGCGUAUGGGGCUUUGUCACCCGCUCUGUAGGCCCGGCCGGCGCCAGCCGACAACCCAUCAUCCUUUUCAGGUUGACCUCGGAUCAGGUAGGGAUACCCGCUGAACUUAAGCAUAUCAUAAGCGGAGGA
rnacentral:misc_RNA from 1 species